rnacentral:rRNA from 1 species
AUACGGAGGGUGCAAGCGUUAAUCGGAAUUACUGGGCGUAAAGCGUACGUAGGCGGUUUAUUAAGUCAGAUGUGAAAGCCCCGGGCUUAACCUGGGAACUGCAUUUGAAACUAGUAGACUAGAGUACGGUAGAGGGGGGUAGAAUUCCUAGUGUAGCGGUGAAAUGCGUAGAUAUUAGGAGGAAUACCAGUGGCGAAGGCGGCCCCCUGGACCAAUACUGACGCUGAGGUACGAAAGCGUGGGGAGCGAACAGGAUUAGAAACCCCGGUAGUCC